GGUUUCUCAAAAAAGGUGGCUUGUUAAAAUAGGUCUCAAAAAGAUUUAUUGCAAAGGGGUCUCAAAAGAUUUAUUGCAAAGGUGUCUCAAAUGAUUUGUUGCAAAGGGGUCUCAAAUGAUUUGUUGCAAAGGGGUCUCAAAUGAUUUGUUGCAAAAGGGUCUCAAAUGAUUUGUUGCAAAAGGUCUCAAAGAUUUAUUGCAAUAGGUCUCAAAGAUUUGUUUCAAUAGGUCUCAAAGAUUUGUUUCAAUGGUAUCAAAGAUUUGUUUCAAGGAUUGUAUUAGUAGCCAGAGUGGGAUAGAAGGGGGAUAGAAAGGCAGAGUGGCUUUUCAAUCAGAAAGAGUGGUAGAGGAGACAGGAAAGUCAGAGGGACCAAAAUGAUAGGGGAGAGUGGGGAGACUGGACAGGAUACCUGUAAGACACAAUGGAAAAAAACAUUAAUCUUUUUUUAUUAAAGAAAUAAAAUUAAAUGAU